rnacentral:rRNA from 1 species
AACGAACGCUGGCGGCAUGCCUAACACAUGCAAGUCGAACGAGACCUUCGGGUCUAGUGGCGCACGGGUGCGUAACGCGUGGGAACCUGCCCUUAGGUUCGGAAUAACUCCCCGAAAGGGGUGCUAAUACCGGAUAAUGUCUUCGGACCAAAGAUUUAUCGCCUUUGGAUGGGCCCGCGUUGGAUUAGCUAGUUGGUAGGGUAAAAGCCUACCAAGGCGACGAUCCAUAGCUGGUCUGAGAGGAUGAUCAGCCACACUGGGACUGAGACACGGCCCAGACUCCUACGGGAGGGAGCAGGGGGGAAUAUGGGAAAAGGGGCGAAAGCCGGACCCAGCAAUGCCGGGUGAGGGAUGAAGGCCUUAGGUUUGUAAAGCUUUUUUACCCGGGAUGAUAAUGAAAGAACCGGGGAAAAAAGCCCCGGCUAACCCCGG